ensembl:lncRNA
UAAAAUGCAAUCUAGGCACUGAGCUUUGAAUGUGCUGCCAAGGUAACCGAGCUUGGAGACUCCGGGCGCUCCCCUGGAUUUGUGUCUUGCUGAGGGGUCGCACUCCCAGGACGUGCUCCCCACCGCGUCUGUGACCCCGCGGCCCCGCUGGACCCUGGAGCUAAGCGGGAGGCCUAGGCUGAGAGGGCGUCAUGUCCUCUGGCACAGGCUGAAGUUACAAAAUCAACUUGGCAGGAAGAGACUGAGGUGUGAGGAACUAGUCCGGAAAAGAGAAAACCACCUUUUGGAGGAAGGGAAGGUCCUCCUUCUCACGCUCCGCCAUUCCUUGUGUGUGCUCAGUCGUGUUGACUCUUUGCGACCCCGGGGACUGUAGCCCGCCAGGCUCCUCUGCCCAUGGGAUUCUCCAGGCACGAACACUGGAGUGGGUUGCCAUGCCCUCCUCCAAGGGAUCUUCCCCACCCAGGAAAUGAACCCGGGUCUCCUGCACUGCAGGCAGAUUCUUUACUGCUGAACCUCAUAGGGAAGUUGACGUUAGUCAUUCACCUAGAAAUAAAUUUUGGGAGAAGACUGCGGGGAAAGUCAGAUCGCUCCGAGGCCGCUUGUCCUCCCGGAGCUGUGGUCAGCGUACCCAGGCGGUCGGCGGGCGGCUGCGUCAUCACAGAGUUAAGUUCUCAUCACGAGAGAAACAGUAGCAGGAGCAGAAGACUGAACAGGCAGGGCUCGCGGUGGCCUGGGUGCGGUCAUCUGCAUGGCCCUCAGGAGCGGGUGGUCUGGCUUCCACAUCGAAGUGCUCCCGGUCCCCUUGUGAGCAGAGUCCUCUCAUCAAGAGCCCGCCACACCUGCCUGACCGCUUAGGGCCGAAAGCCUGGCAGCUCCUCAGCGACGCCCUGUCACCCCUUUCCUGGAGCAAGGGUUCUCACGCAGGCUCACUACAGACUGCCUUGUGACAUGGGCAGGUUCCUGGGUCUCCCCGGGCCGCAGUUUCCACGUCUGUUAAAUGGGAAUAGUAAUAAGUCCCAUAGAACUAUAGCGGGACGUCAUGCAUGGAUACAUAUAAAGCUGCCUCAACCCUAAGUGUUGGGUAUUACUGUUAUUGUUACUGUUUCUAGAGGAAAGAGGGUGGCCUUCUGGGUCAGGGAAGAGAAGGGACGUGGAGGUGGGCAGGGGAGGCACAGUGUGACUGUCUCUGCAGCGGAAGGAAGUGAGACCUUCAGGGAGACGAUUAAACUCUUCACGACUCGCUGGCCCCAACCCCCUGGUCUCAGACAGCCACAGCCAGAGGGGCAGCUGUGCCCAGGGAGCAGCGAGUGCAGAGCUGCACAGAUGGGGACGGGAUUCUGUCCCGGGCAGGCAGCCGCUCGGCUGGCGCGCUGGACAGCUUGAUCUGGAGCUCAGGAGGGAAACCGGGCCUGGUGAGGAAGCUCGGGGGUCGUGGGGCGGGAAGGGAGCGACCAGAUGGGGGAGUGAGACUCCCAGGGGCUCCAUGCGUCCGGAUGAGAGAAGCCGGAAGCCACCGGCUGACUCGUGUAGAGGGCCUGGUGCAAAAAGAAGAGCGGGUGGAGGGAGAAAGAG